AUCUAUGGAUAAAGCACCCUGAAUAUACCCCAUCUCCUUUGAUCUCAGGAGCUAAGCAGGGUCAGGCCUGGUUAGUACUUGGAUGGGAGAUAGCAAAUCCCCAAAGAGAGCAAGCUAGCACAUAAAGU
ensembl:rRNA 5S_rRNA 5S ribosomal RNA